CGAAGAUAAGACGGAUUAGCGGCGGACGGGUGAGUAACACGUGAGUAACCUGCCUUUACACAGGGAUAGCCUCGGGAAACCGGGAUUAAAACCUGAUGAAACUAUCAAAUCACAUGAUUAAGAAAGUUAAAACUCCGGUGGUAAAAGAUGGACUCGCGUCCCAUUAGCUAGUUGGUGAAGGUAACGGCCCACCAAGGCAACGAUGGGUAGCCGGCCUGAGAGGGUGAACGGCCACAUUGGAACUGAGAAACGGUCCAAACUCCUACGGGAGGCAGCAGAA
rnacentral:rRNA from 1 species